AUAAGUAUAUAUAGAUAAUAAUAAAUGGAAUUCGGUGCAAAUCCGAAACGGUCCCGCCACUGUAAGAACAUUGUUCAAGUCAGGUCUUUUUAUUAAUAUCUUUGGUGUAACUACUUCGAGGCAAAGUAGUAAACAAG
rnacentral:sRNA from 2 species